AGAGUUUGAUCCUGGCUCAGGAUGAACGCUAGCUACAGGCUUAACACAUGCAAGUCGAGGGGCAGCAUGGUCUUAGCUUGCUAAGGCCGAUGGCGACCGGCGCACGGGUGAGUAACACGUAUCCAACCUGCCGACAACACUGGGAUAGCCUUUCGAAAGAAAGAUUAAUACCGGAUGGCAUAGUUUUCCCGCAUGGGAUAAUUAUUAAAGAAUUUCGGUUGUCGAUGGGGAUGCGUUCCAUUAGGCAGUUGGCGGGGUAACGGCCCACCAAACCUACGAUGGAUAGGGGUUCUGAGAGGAAGGUCCCCCACAUUGGAACUGAGACACGGUCCAAACUCCUACGGGAGGCAGCAGUGAGGAAUAUUGGUCAAUGGACGAGAGUCUGAACCAGCCAAGUAGCGUGAAGGAUGACUGCCCUAUGGGUUGUAAACUUCUUUUAUACGGGAAUAAAGUGAGCCACGUGUGGCUUUUUGUAUGUACCGUAUGAAUAAGGAUCGGCUAACUCCGUGCCAGCAGCCGCGGUAAUACGGAGGAUCCGAGCGUUAUCCGGAUUUAUUGGGUUUAAAGGGAGCGUAGGCGGGUUGUUAAGUCAGUUGUGAAAGUUUGCGGCUCAACCGUAAAAUUGCAGUUGAUACUGGCGACCUUGAGUGCAACAGAGGUAGGCGGAAUUCGUGGUGUAGCGGUGAAAUGCUUAGAUAUCACGAAGAACUCCGAUUGCGAAGGCAGCUUACUGGAUUGUAACUGACGCUGAUGCUCGAAAGUGUGGGUAUCAAACAGGAUUAGAUACCCUGGUAGUCCACACAGUAAACGAUGAAUACUCGCUGUUGGCGAUAUACUGUCAGCGGCCAAGCGAAAGCAUUAAGUAUUCCACCUGGGGAGUACGCCGGCAACGGUGAAACUCAAAGGAAUUGACGGGGGCCCGCACAAGCGGAGGAACAUGUGGUUUAAUUCGAUGAUACGCGAGGAACCUUACCCGGGCUUAAAUUGCAACUGACGGAACCGGAAACGGUUCUUUCUUCGGACAGUUGUGAAGGUGCUGCAUGGUUGUCGUCAGCUCGUGCCGUGAGGUGUCGGCUUAAGUGCCAUAACGAGCGCAACCCUUAUCGAUAGUUACUAGCAGGUCAUGCUGAGGACUCUAUCGAGACUGCCGUCGUAAGAUGUGAGGAAGGUGGGGAUGACGUCAAAUCAGCACGGCCCUUACGUCCGGGGCUACACACGCGUUACAAUGGGGGGUACAGAAGGCAGCUACACGGCGACGUGGUGCUAAUCCCAAAAGCCUCUCUCAGUUCGGAUUGGAGUCUGCAACCCGACUCCAUGAAGCUGGAUUCGCUAGUAAUCGCGCAUCAGCCACGGCGCGGUGAAUACGUUCCCGGGCCUUGCACUCACCGCCCGUCAAG
rnacentral:rRNA from 1 species